AUUGAACGCUGGCGGCAGGCCUAACACAUGCAAGUCGAGCGAGCGGCGGACGGGUGAGUAAUGUAUGGGGACUGCCCGAUAGAGGGGGAUAACUACUGGAAACGGUGGCUAAUACCGCAUACUAUCGGAUAACCCAUAUGGGAUUAGCUUGUAGGUGUGGUAACGGCUCACCUAGGCGACGAUCCCUAGCUGGUCUGAGAGGAUGAUCGGCCACACGGGGACUGCGACACGGCCCGGAAUCCGACGGAGGCACAAGUGGGGAAUAUUGCACAAUGGGGGAAAGCCGGAUGCAGCCAUGCCGCGUGUAUGAAGAAGGCCUUCGGGUUGUAAAGUACUUUUGUUAGGGAAGCGGUACCUAAAGAAUAAGCACCGGCUAACUACGUGCCAGCAGCCGCGGUAAUUC
rnacentral:rRNA from 1 species